AGAAAAUAUUGCUAGCUAAUUCCCCUCUAAGUGGCCGGCCUCUUUAGAGAAAAUGAGAGAAAGUGUUUCACCUCAUUUCACCAAGAAAAACCCUAAUUAGAAAUAAAGCUAUAAAGUUGAUUUUAUACUUCAUUUCAAGUGAGUGGCAAACUUGUAAUUAAUCCAAGUUUGCUACCCUCACUCUUAUGGCCGGCCUUACCUUUGUUAUUGGGCUAAUUGCCCAUUUUGUUUUAGUUGUCAUACAACUUAAACAUA
rnacentral:lncRNA from 1 species